rnacentral:rRNA from 1 species
CUACGGGUGGCAGCAGUGGGGAAUAUUGGACAAUGGGCGAAAGCCUGAUCCAGCAAUGCCGCGUGAGUGAUGAAGGCCUUAGGGUUGUAAAGCUCUUUUACCCGGGAUGAUAAUGACAGUACCGGGAGAAUAAGCUCCGGCUAACUCCGUGCCAGCAGCCGCGGUAAUACGGAGGGAGCUAGCGUUGUUCGGAAUUACUGGGCGUAAAGCGCACGUAGGCGGCUUUGUAAGUUAGAGGUGAAAGCCUGGAGCUCAACUCCAGAAUUGCCUUUAAGACUGCAUCGCUCGAAUCCAGGAGAGGUGAGUGGAAUUCCGAGUGUAGAGGUGAAAUUCGUAGAUAUUCGGAAGAACACCAGUGGCGAAGGCGGCUCACUGGACUGGUAUUGACGCUGAGGUGCGAAAGCGUGGGGAGCAAACAGGAUUAGAUACCCCAGUAGUC